rnacentral:rRNA from 1 species
UUAACCCAAGGUUGACCUCGGAUCAGGUAGGAAGACCCGCUGAACUUAA